GGAGGGUGCAAGCGUUAAUCGGAAUUACUGGGCGUAAAGCGAGCGCAGGCGGUUGCGUGUGUCGGAUGUGAAAGCCCCGGGCUCAACCUGGGAAUUGCAUUCGAAACUGCGCGACUAGAAUAUGGGAGAGGAAGACGGAAUUCCACGUGUAGCGGUGAAAUGCGUAGAUAUGUGGAGGAACACCAAUGGCGAAGGCAGUCUUCUGGACCAAUAUUGACGCUCAGGCUCGAAAGCGUGGGUAGCAAACAGGAUUAGAUACCCUGGUAGUCCACGCCGUAAACGAUGAGAACUAGACGUUGGGCGAUCUAAUCGUUCAGUGUCGCAGUUAACGCGUUAAGUUCUCCGCCUGGGGAGUACGACCGCAAGGUUG
rnacentral:rRNA from 1 species